AAACUGGAGAGUUUGAUCCUGGCUCAGAACAAACGCUGGCGGCGUGCCUAACACAUGCAAGUCGUACGAGAAAGUCGGCUUCGGCCGAUGAGUACAGUGGCGCACGGGUGAGUAGCGCGUGGGUAAUCUGCCCCCCGGUCAGGAAUAACCCGCCGAAAGGCGGGCUAAUACCCGAUAACACUGACGCUCCGCGGAGCGUCUUUCAAAGAAGGCCUCUGUUUACAAGCUUUCGCCGGAGGAUGAGCCCGCGUACCAUUAGCUAGUUGGCAGGGUAAUGGCCUACCAAGGCUACGAUGGUUAGCUGGUCUGAGAGGAUG
rnacentral:rRNA from 1 species